GGCAACAUUAGUAUGCGAGAUUCUCAUCUGUCUGUCUUUGGCUUAAGUAGUGGCGUGGCGCACGAUGUCAGGGCCAUGAAGACUCAAAUAUUUGUUCCCCUUGGUCGGGAACCUCAAGGGCUCCCAGGGUCCCCUCGGCUUUACUGAUGAGUCACCUCCACUCUUUUGAAGGAGUUACACAAGCAAGCAAGCAAGCAGGCAGGCAAGCAGGCUCAGUAUUCCGCUAGUAGGCUGCCGCCAAGUUUCUUCCAACCCACGCUACGCCACUGCUCUUGACUGUUCCGUCACCAGCCCGACAUCAUCAUCAUCAUCACCUGUGAGAUAUUUUUGUUCCUGCUUUUAUCUGCUCUACUGGUGACAGCGGUGCCGCGUGGGGAAAGAGCAACGAUCGGGAAUUGCCACUGGGUCGGACAACAGAACAAGAGUCCCUUAAUCUCAUUCCUUGAUGAGCUGGAAAACACCUAAGACUUCAGCUUUAAUACGCAGAUGGAAUCCAUUGACGGGAAACGCCGGACCGCAAGUGACCUCCUUGAAUUUCCGAAGGCAUACGGUCUUGACCGACAUAGCCGCUCGCUUUUAAUGGAAGACUACCUCCGCCGUGGAAUGCGGUUAUCGGCAGGAGGGGCUCAUAACUCAGGCAAGUUUUCCCGACAGUUUAAUGCCUUAAUGGCAGCUGAUUGGUGGCAUUGAUUAGCCUUUGUGAAAGGCCCGCAGACAGGAAGUCAUUUGUCAUUCAGUGCCGGUCGUUUCCAAACCCUCCUUUAUCCUAGCGUGUGAAAAAAUACCGAACUGGGAUUGGAUGUCUGGAUUCCCAAAAGAUGGAAUGAGAUUUAAAAGGCCCGCUGAAAGAUCUGUGUCAACAUGAUAAAUGGAACAUUUUCAUUCAAACGGGGAUGACUUGAUUUAGAAGAGUGAAAAUGUCAAACUUUUAGACAUGCUUAAAGAAAAUCUGCUGUUUUGCCAGCUGGGGAAAGAUGUUACUUUUGCUUUUUUGCCCUUGGUAGCGGUCGGAAGUGUACAAUUCUCUUUCUUUUAAGUCGAAAGCCAAUAUUUGGUUAACCGCCGCUCCCUCCCCCCAGUGCCUGACAUCAACUAACAAGGACCUUUUGCCAUUUACUUUUGUUGCACCGGGAUUUCAUUCAACUCUAGCGGAAAUGCAUCCCAGCACUCUUAUGUGACUGAAAUAGAAAAAGGAGCACGGGCAAGGAAACAAAAGGCAGCCAGACAUGAAAAUAAACACUGGAUUUUACUUCAGCAUUUCACAUCUACUGAUGAAUUCAUUGGGAAAGCUUGUGGUCGCCGGAUUAUCCUCAACCUGUGGUCCGCGGCUGUCUAGUGGUCCGUGGCGGUAUUGCAGGUGGUCCGCGAUAUUGGAAAUGGAAAAUAGUUUUUAAAACAUUUUUCAAAAUUAAAUGGAUUUAUUAUUUAGACGAUUUAUUUUCCAGCUAAUUUUGUGAAUCAUUUACCCAUACAAAUGAUGUCAAAAUAGAAUUAAAUUAAAUUAAAUACAGAUGCAAAUAUGUAGCCUGUAUAGGUCUAUCUUCCUUCGGUGCCAAAUAAAAUAAGUUUCCGCCAAAGCAGUGGUCCCCGAGUUGCCUCUUGGUUACAAUGGUGGUCUCUUGGACAAAACCGGUCGGUUUAGAUGAUUGAGAGGUGUCAUUCACUUCCGAGGCGGGGGAGCCACGACCAUCGCAAAAAGCGUAAUAGAAGAGCGACCACUCAGGGCCGAUACAACGGGAAAGCGGCUAAUCUUAGUUCUUUUGUGUCUUUGAUACAGUCGUCAAGUAGUUUUGCAGCGUCGGCAAGUCUCUUCAAAUCCGAAGAGAGGAUUGUGGGGUUUUUUUUCCCCAAAGUUAACUACGGGAGCUGUGAAGAUUCUCCUCAAUCUGCCGUCUCAACCGCACGAGUCAGCAAGCAGCGGGGUGUCGGAGCAACGUGCGUGUGCUUGUCACGCUCCUUUACAGCUAAACUUUGGAGCCACAUCAAAGUGGAUGAUGCGCCUCCAUCUUUCGCCGUAUAAUGUCCAAUGUAUUCACGCGCUGGCCUUUCAAGGCACGGCGGGACGCUCGUCGCCGUCAGGCCCUAAACUCCAUACGCAAAUGUCUUGCCGGGAGGAACCUGUCAUUUACCCGCUGAAGAAUUUAUUGGAAAAGCAGCGGAAAUUUUUCAGCAGACAAAUGAGUUGAAAAAUGCAAUAAAUGGAAACACGCCGACGGUUGUUUGACUCAUUAAAAAAUCAUGUCGCUAAACCUCAGCACCUCUGAUGAGGGGGGGGAAAAGCGCUGAUUUGUCAAAGCUCUAAUGUCUGUCAACAAGUCAAUUUCUGGCGCUGGU